rnacentral:tRNA from 1 species
AUUUAUAUAGUUUAAUUAAAACAUUAUAUUUUCAUUAUAAAAUUAGAUUUCUUUUCUUAUAAAUA